UAGACGGUAAACUUGUGAGUGAUCAUUAUUGCCAUGCUCAUUGAGAAUUCCAUCAUGAUAAUAGCUUAUGGAUAACAAGAAAUUCUCUUCUUUGGCCUUGAGCAAACUUAGGUCUCUCAUUAAGUCAUGAAGGCGACACGAUGCGAAUGAUCUUCCAACGGAGGACAGCAUCACAUCAUCAUCAUCAGGGGCUUUACCUUGAACCAUGCACCGUGUUACUAAUUCUCCCAGGUAUCUUUCUGCUACAUCCAUCAUUGAUUCUUCACCAAUCUGAUCUUUUGUUGAUAUUAUACCUUCUGCAAUCCAUAACUGGUACAAUGCCUCUGUGUCUAUGUCAGAGUCUUCUUCAUAUCUACUCAAGUAAAGGAAGCAAGGCUUCAACUUGUAGGGCAAGUCAUUGUAGCUUAAAGCUAGUAUCUUGUGCAGAUUUCCUUCUUCUUUGAUCAAGUUGUUUCCUCUUCCAAGAUGAGCUUUAAUGUUUCUAUUGACAGUCGCCCACUCAUUCAGGUCCUUCUUGGUGGCAAGAGUUCCGCUGAGUACUAUCACAGCCAAUGGAAGACCCCCACAUGCUUUCACCAUUUCCUUCCCUAAGUUUUUCAAUUUUUUUAAAUCUUCAUGUUCUGUCAAAGAGAGAUGAUGAGUAGUUCUGUUAGUCUUAUUACUUAAUAGACAGAAGUGUCGAGUUGCUCAAUGUAUGUGCAGUACAUUGAAUUAACAAUUUAACAUUUCUGUUUAGCAUCAUGAAUAUAUGUGUGUGUAUAUAUAAGAAACUCUGAGAAAAAUUGAAACUUCUCCAUUGAGAAACAAAAAAUAAGAAACUUUGAGAAAAAUUGAGCCAAUUCCAUUGAGGAAAGAUCAUCUGUUGUUGUUUUUGUUUAGUCAAUAAAAUUUGGAGCAGAAGACAUGUAAAGGGAUGUUUAUACUUUCGGGUGAAACAGAGGAUUUGCCUGUGUUUCGGGAAUUUGUCUCUUCGUGUGCAUUGUGUCGUUAAAUCAAUAAAAGUUGUGAGCUUAACAAAAAGGGGGCAAAAAGAAAAAAAGAGUAUAGCCCCAAAAGAGGGGAAAAUACUUAACCACUCUUUAUAGUCCAAUUAAUUAUGAACUGCUCAUCAACCACUCACAUUUCGGGUGAAAAAAAGGAUUUGCCUGUCAGAUUUACUCAAGUUGCGUUUUAUUAUACACCGCUGUUCAUAAGAAACCCAAAAAAAAAAAAAAAACUUUACUCUAUGCUCUAAUAUUUCUUGUUUGACUCAUAUCAAUAUUCGUCUUGCCUUCUCUUGCCUUUGGCUUUUAGAGGCAGUAAAAUUAAAAUUGCAUGGCAUUGUAAUUCCUCUAGUAGUUUCUUUUCAUUAUUUUUUUUUUAUUAAAGGUCAACAAUAUAUACAUACACCUACACUAUAGUAAAGGGGGGGCAGAUCAAAUUGGGAGAACUAAACCACCUCCCAUUCCACAAAUAUCUUUAAGUUUUAGUGGCCGCUAACCAUUCAAGGGACUGUUUACUAGUUUCUUUUCUUUGAUUACCGUGUACUAAUAAGUAAUAAGGAUAGCCACAACAAACAAACCCUCAAGAUCUACAGUUUAUCAUCCCUUGAUCAAGUAAAAAAGGCCCAAUUUAGCAAAAUAAUAAAAAUAAAAAAUAAAAAGUGUUUUAAGAAGUCAUGUACCUCCAUGAAACCUGCCCCGUAAAGCUUUCCUCUGUAGCAGCUGCCAACUUUCGUCCUCACUUAAAAAGCGCGGUUCGUGGUGAAAACCACUGGGAUCAAUAUGCAAAGCCACGUCUUUAUUGCGAGAUGUAACUAAGAUCUUGCUUCCGUCGUUUCUAAUUGGAAAUGCUUGCUUUAUACAUUCCCAUGGUUCUGUGGCCCAAAUGUCAUCAAGAACCACAAGACAUUUCUUGUUUUGCAGGAUUUGAAAAAGUUGCCUGACGAGCUCCUCAUCCCUCCACUCCAGUAUCUCUUCUCUCUUUUCUGGGAUCAGGCUUAGCAAGAUCCUUUGCAAAAUGUCUUCCUUUUGCCACUUUUGCGAGACACAUACCCAAGCAAGACCAUCAAAGCAGCGCCUCAGUUCAGGGUGAUUGUAUACCUUUCUGGCAAGAGUUGUCUUUCCCAAGCCACCCAUCCCACAGAUGGAGACAACUCUAAAGUGUUGAUCGAUCUCAUGAUCAUGAUCGCUUCCCCUCAACAGAUGCUUUACCAGCAUCUCAACAUCAUCCUCCAAUCCAACAAAGUCAUCCUCGACAACAUGGGAAUAUGUCCGCCUCAAUUGUUGAUGCGAUGAACUUGCGCCAUCCUGUCUUUCCAUCACAGCUGCGAUCCCAUAUUCCUGGAAACUUUUGGUGAGAUCAGAGAUUUUCGUUUUCAGAGUCUGAAUACCCGUUCCUGUGGUGUGCCUAGGAAAGCACUCAUUCAGGAUACCAACACAUCUCUUUGUGGUGCCUCUAACGCCUUUCCUCCUUCGGGACGCGACUUUGAAAGCAUAUCUUUCAAUCAAGUCAUCGGCCUCAUAAGCUAGAUCUCUAGCUUGUGAAAUCCACACCUUGAUCCUUUCCUCCUCAUGCUGCCUUGCAUCUGCAUCUUUUAAGAACGAUUGUAUCCGCUUUAGCUCUAGUUGAAGUUGCUCCACUUGGUCCCUCACCCCUUGUAAGAACUUCGUUUCUUCAAUCAACAGGUUGCCAAUUGUUUCCGCAGCAAAACUGACAACGGCCUCAGCCAUUUUUGCUAGACAAAAAGAUGAAUUCUUUUUUUUUUUUUUUCAAGGAAGCGUGUAGGUAGGUUUAAGGGUAGUACAUUUGAGGAAGCGAUGACACCUCCUACUUAUAUUCAUCUUCUUAAACUACAUAAACUAGAAGGAUUGGAGGGAGGGAAAGAGUAUUAAUUAGGUAAUACAUUGCUUACAAGUUUCUUAGACAGCCCAAUAAGUUGUCCCUGAUUCGGGAUGCAAUAAGCUUUUUCCCCACAGAAGAAAAGCAUCCUCUUCCAUAUAGAUACUGUGAUUUAUCAAAGAAAAGAAAUGCAUCUCAGAUCCUUUUGAAAGAAAUUAAUAGCGGAUUUUUCUGAUACCAAGUACGAUAACGAAGGAAAGUAUAAAUAGUAUCAAAUUAAAUUCCUUAUGCCUAUAUCCAUGUCUCUAUUUCAUAUUGACCAGAUGUUCCAUACCUCAUCCAGCUAUCUAAAGAAGGCAAGAAGACCCUCUUCUCUAUUGAAUACUUUGGUUGAAACAUUUCUUUACUAGUGAGGAUUGCGAUCUAUAGCCAUGUGGCUAAUGCGAUUGUUAUAACUCUAUGUAUGCACGUAUAGUUCCACAGACAUAUUCUCAAUGAAAGCCAAUCAAAUUGCAUUUUUUGCUGCGUAGCAAGAGUAUAAAUUCUGCAAUGGAUUUUAUUUCAAAAUUCGUCUGCCGAUCUUUACAUACCACUUCUGCGUGCCUUCUAUCCCUUAAUCCCUGUCCUAAUAGUUGUCUUACUCCAUGCAUGAACUACGCGAAAAAGUUAGUGGCAACAAAACAAAACUAGCACAAGUAGAGGAUAUUUCUUGUCAACUGUACUAUUCUUGACGAAAGGAGUUGAUUGCAAGUCCCCCCAUGGUUAAUUACGUUUCAUUUCAGGGCCUCUGAUCUAAUAGCAUUUAAUUUUCCACGCUUUUUCUUGCUUUCUAAGUGCAGAACUUCUUUUUUUUUUUUUUUUUUUUUUUAAUUUUAACAGGGGAAAGUUGGAGUUUAAAAAAUGGAGAGGAUGAAGAGGAGAUACCUUUGAAUCGCAACGUCUCAACUUUUAACUAUUAGAUCAAGACUUUCUUGAUUUCUAAGUGCAAAUCAUCUUGCAAAAAAUGAACAUAAUUUUUAAGUUAUUUUGACAACCUCUAGAAAUCCGUUUUAGAGAGAGAGAGAGAGAGAAUGCCCACUUUUACAUCCAACCCAACAAUUUACCACAUAGAAAAUUAAACAUUCAAUGACCAAAACCUAGAAGACCUCAUGCAUUGAACUUUUAAACUUUUUGGGGAUGUACCUUUGGGGGCUUUUUAGCCUCUAAAUCCAAUCUUCGCCCAAAUGAACUUAUUCGUACUCUUUUUUUUUUUUUUUUUUAUUUUAGUUCCUGGAGACUAUGGACAACUUGAACAUAAUGGCAUAAGCUAGUCAGCAAAAUUCAAAAAUAUAAAAAAAAAUCUGUACCUAAAACAUUAAACAAUGAUAAUGGACUAAAAUGGAAAAGCAAACCACCAGUGAGAUAACCUAUUAUUGUGUUGUUGCCAAGUUGGGAUGCAUAAGAAAAUUGGUCUUUGAUAUCCAGUGUUUGUUUGCCAAGAAAAGGGAACGAAAAUGACUUUCACGCCAGUUUUGAAUAUUUGUUUCUUAGGAAAUUUAUGGGACCCAUUACAUUCCACUCAUUUUCCUUAAAAUUUUCCUUGCUGAAAUUUAUAUGGAAGUGACUCAGGGAAAAGUUUCAACUAAUUAUCUUUUACAACUCCUUUCUUUCUAAAUUAGAAUAUCUUAGAAUUUACAAUUCAAAAAAUUGGCUUGUAAUUAGACAUUUUAUUCUUAUUUUAACAACUAAUGAAUUAGUAAUUUGUUGACUUUUUAUGACAUUAGUACUUUUUUUUGUUUUGCAUUUUAUGCUCCCUCUUUUAUGUCUAUAUAUUAACUUGUGGUUAAAGAAUGUGAUUGAUUUUGAGGUAACAACAACUCUUCCAUUAUGCAAAAUGUUAUGUUUAUUACAUAUUUUUACAUGUAUUAAAUACCAAAAAGAAGUUUAAUAUUGAAUAUUUUCUAUUAACGAAUACAUUACCCAAUUUUUUUUUGUGACUUUCCGGUUAAACAAAUGCAAGAAUUUGUAUUUUCUUGCAUCAUUUUCUUGUUAACCAAACACAUGUGGGAAAAUUAGUUUCCUUCCAUUACAUGGCUGCACUUCAUUUCUUCCCACGGCAUACUUUCUUACACGGUUUCCCCCCUGAAACAAACAAAGCCUUAAGUUUUCUUUUUCCUUCCCACGAUAUCAGUUGCGAAGCCAUUGUUGUUUAAACAAAAAGGUAUUAUAAAAAAAAAAUUCAUUAAUUAAAAAUAUAAUCUGCAUUAAAUUACAGCACAAACUCUAAUUAGACAAAUUACAUCAAGAAAUAUGCAGAGUAUAAGCUGAGUGAAAAUCAUAGACACGAGACACAUAAUUAAUACGGAAAUGGAAAAGGUUUGAGAGCAUCAUAUUCCAGCAGUGAAUUAAUCAUGCCCGUCAAAUUGAUCCUAACAGCACAAGUUAAAAUCAAUUAGGAUCAGUUUUAAGUACCACACAAGGCUUGACGAAUCAAAUGGAUGUAUGUUCCGAAAAUUGAGAUGCUAAACAAAAAGAAAUUAAUCAGAGGUACCUCAUCUGCUGAGUCAGGAUAAAAUAUCACGCACGCUAAUGGUGGGUAUAUGGGAGACUUUGUCAAAAUCCUGUCCCUUAUCUUCACCAUUUACUGCUUGGAUUCUAUCUGUGAAUUCCUUUGGCAUCGAUGCAAUGUUCAACUCUUUCAGCGUUUUAACGUAUCUCAAUCCAUUGGGAACCAUCUCCAGCUUCGUGCAAUAUACAAUUGUCAAGACCGAAAGGUUGGGCAUGGCUCCUUCGUCAACAUUCCACUUCUCCAAGUUCCGUAGAAAUUCAAAACGAAGAAAUCUAAGUUGGCCAAAACCUGUUGCCUUGCACCUCAUCUCUUUCCCGAGAAUAUAUAGAUCUUGCAAGUGAAGCGACCGGAGAUUAGGGAGCCUUUCCAGAGUUUCCAUGGAAUAUUCCUCUAUCUCCAUUGUGGUUAGUUUCAAUUUAAGAAGGCUUGCAUACAUGUACUGGGCUUCGUGCUUGGGGAAAUUGGCCAGUGGACCAUAUACCUCCAAGACUUGAAGAUUGCGACUAGAGAAACAUUGACCAACAGCAUCCGACAAUUUCUCCUUGUUUGAGGCGGCACUGGCUGCUGAAUAAAUACGUAGGGAUGUGCAACGCACGUGGUCUGAGUUUGCCAUUAAUCUAUGGAUUUCUACAGGGAAGUACUCGUCAUCAAAGUUCCCCAUGAAUACCACGGCGGAUAGUACUCGAAGGUUCUUCAAUGUGGAUAUAUCUUGAGAUGAACAAGUCGGAGGACAGAAGUUUUCCAGGAUCUCUAGCUUGUCCAAUCCCUUGAGUCGCAAAUUCUUGCAGCACAAAUUUAAGCUAAACUUGCCCACCAUACGGUCAGCGUAAUUAGCCGGAAGAUACAAGUGCCUAAGCUGUCUCAUCUUCCAAAGCACAUUAGGUAUUCUACACACUCCGGCUCGUAAAUCAAGUGUCUGCAAGUUUUGUAAGUUGCCCAAGGAUGAUGGCAAACAGACGAAAACUGAAUUCCUCAAACUCAAGUAUCGCAGGUGGAUCAGCUCCCCAACAGCUUUUGGGAGCCUCAAGUGAUCUGCUACUAGGAGAAAUACAGUUUUAAGUAUGUGAUCUUCCGAGAAAGCAGGACGGAUCCCUUCAAUGGUCAACACUCUGAGCAUUUUGAACCGAUUGAAUUGAGACUUCAUUUUCUUAGGAAGACGCCCCUCAUAGAAUUCAUUACCUAAGAGCAACAACGCCAGUGACCUCAGGUGCCUAGUAUUUCUCUUCUCAGCUGGAGGGACAUAUUUCCUUACAUCCUCCUUAGAAAAAUGGACGGCUAGACGGUAAACUUGUGAGUGAUCAUUAUUGCCAUGCUCAUCGAGAAUUCCAUCAUGAUAAUGGCUUAUGGAUAACAAGAAAUUCUCUUCUUUAGCCUUGAGCAAACUUAGGUCUCUCAUUAAGUCAUGAAGGCGACACGAUGCAAAUGAUCUUCCAACGGAGGACAGCAUCACAUCAUCAUCAUCAGGGGCUUUACCUUGAACCAUGCACCGAGUUACUAAUUCUCCCAGGUAUCUUUCUGCUACAUCCAUCAUUGAUUCUUCACCAAUCUGAUCUUUUGUUGAUAUUAUACCCUCUGCAAUCCAUAACUGGUACAAUUUCUCUGUGCCUAUGUCAGAGUCUUCUUCAUAUCUACUCAGGUAAAGGAAGCAAGGCUUCAAUUUGUAGGGCAAGUCAUUGUAGCUUAAAGCUAAUAUCUUGUGCAGAUUUCCUUCUUCUUUGAUCAAGUUGUUUCCUCUUCCAAGAUGAGCUUUAAUGUUUCUAUUGACAGUCGCCCACUCAUUCAGGUCCUUCUUGGUGGCAAGAGUUCCGCUGAGUACUAUAACAGCCAAUGGAAGACCCCCACAUGCUUUCACCAUUUCCUUCCCUAAGUUUUCCAAUUUUUUGAAAUCUUCAUGUUCUGUCAAAGAGAGAUGAUGAGUUCUAUUAGUCUUAUUACUUAUAGAAGUGUCGAGUUGCUCAAUGUAUGUGCACUACAUUGAAUUAACUCGUGUACCAACUAAUUAACAAUUUAACAUGUCUGUUUACCUAGUUUAUACUAGCAUCAUGAGUAUAUAUAUGCGCACAUUGAAAAUAAAUAUUUAUGCAUAAAUAAACAUUCUAAAUAAUGGUUAUCUUGUUAGCGUUUCAUGUUGAGAUAGAACUCUUAGGAUACUGAGAAGGCAGAGUUAUACUAAUAAACAACGUAAGAGGAUACUGCUCUUUAAGGGUUGACAGUUGAUCCCGAUUGUCAAUGUUGUUGCUUUGCUCUAGAAUCUUUAUCACGGAUGUUUUUCUAUUUUCUGUUUGUUGUUGCUAUUAAGAAGGUUGUGUAAAAGACAAUUUUUGGUGUACAGAGCAGCAACUAAUUUCGAUGAAAAAUUGCGUGGGGUGACUUUGAAUUGCUUAUCUGCUCAUCGGAUUCUUUUUGUAUGGUUAAUGAGAAAGGUCGCUAUUUUUCUGCUAUUGUUCACAAGCUAGAAAUUUGGAUGCGUUCAAACAGCUUGUGGCUCAUCCUCAAAUAGAAGUGGAGCAGAUAGAAGAAUGCUGAGGCCACUGUUGUUAGCUAGAAACGGUGCAAGGAAACUCUCCAGAGGCCUUGAAGCCAGGACCGCUAGCAAGCGGCUCGAAUACGAGUUCGGUCAAUAUCGAGCUCAAGUCAAGCUCAAGCUAAUCAAGUCGAGCUCGAACUCUAGUUCAAGCUCAAAAACAUUAAAUUCAUUGACUCGCGAGCGGCUCGUGAGUUCGAUUAUAUAUUUUUUUAUUUUUAUUUUUAUUUUAAUAGUAAAAUUACAUAUAUAUUUUUAAUAUUUUAUUAUUUAUUAAGAAAUUUUAUUAUUUUAUUUAUUUUUAAAAAUAAAAUAAUUAUUUUUUUAAACUCGAGUUCGAGCUUGAUAUUUUGAACUCGUCGAACACGAGCUCGAAUUCGAAUUCGAGUUUCAUAAAAUUAACUGAAGGCUCGACUCGAUUAGAUCAAAUCUCAACUUGACUCGACUCGUUUGCGCCCUAUUUGAAGCUAUAUGAUGAGAUGAAUUCUAUUUUUAUGUACUUUUGCCUGAUGCUUGUAUAUCUUAGUUAGAUUAUUUCACUCUUGUUAUUCUUUUGUACGUGAUUAGGACUAUGAAUCUUAUGUUACACCAAAAAGUAUAAUAAGUUAUACAUCCCAGCAUGAUAACAAGCGCCCUACUUUAAUUAUGAGAUAGAACUCAAGUUAAACGUGAUUCCAUUCCUCCCUCUACCUAUGUUUUCAGACUCGGAUUGGGUAUCGUUUCGAUCAACCUCAGGAGUUAAGGGUUAAUGGAUUCAAUCAAGAUCGAAUCGGAUGACGUUAUAAAUAAAAAUUAUUGAAAAAUUAAAAUAUUAUAUGUAAAAUACCUAAGAGCAUGUUAAUAUCAAAAAGGUAUAUUCAUAUACAUUUGAUGUUUAAAUAUAUUGAACAAGAAAAUAUAAAAAAAUUAGAACGAUCAAGUAGCAAUUUAUAUUAUUCAAUAAACAUUGACAAGUUUAGAAUUAAAAUUAUGGACUUAAUUGAAAAGUAACAACAAACUUUAAGACAACAUUUAUAAAGUAUGAAAUGCUUGAGAUAUAUUAAUAGUUUUUAACAAUUUAAGGGUCAAAACAUAAUAUUAAAAAUGCUUUAACCCUACAUCACAUUCCCAUUUCUUUCUCUACCCCUGACGCAUUCCUUAGAGCAGAAUUACCAGAGUUUCAUCUUCCUCCUUCUCUUGCCAAACUGCAACUUCUUUCUUCUUCUACUUUUUUUUUAAUUUGAUUUUCAUUCUUAUUUUGUUGGUUAUUUAUUCUGAAACUCAUGAAACAUCAAGAUUUUAUCUGUUUUUUUCAAACUUUUCUCUCCUCCACUCCCUUUUUUGCAUUUUUUGGUUCUUUUCUUCUUUUGAAUUCAAGAUUCAAGAUUAGAUCUUGUUUUAAAAAAAAGGUUAAAUCAUUGAUUUUUGAUAGUUGAAUUGAAAUGAAAGAGUGAAAAUGGAUUUGCAGAGGAGGGGAGAGCUCACGAGGAUUUGGGGCUAGAGGUAAGGAAGAAAAAAAAUUCAACAAAAAGGAAAACUAAAAAAAUUCAAUUUUUAUCGGUUCUUCUGGUUUUUGGACCGGGUUUGAUUGAGUAUUUAUCUACCAACUCAAGUUUUUAAGAUAACUCUGACCGGACACUUGGCUGAUUCCAAUUCGACCGGUCCGGUCCAAAUUUAAAAACAUGGCUCUCUACCCUAAAUCUCUAAAUCUAAAUCCAACCCAUAGCAUUUCACGUAUGAAAACUAUGAAUAAUCCAAAAAAGAAAACAAAAGUAAAACCUAACUGAGUUGCUUCCCAUUCUAAUGUAAAAUUGUUUUGUCCAAUUUUUUUGAAUUAAUUGAAACUAUUCUAGAGGAAAAAAUUAAGAAGCUUUGAGAAAAAUUUAGCCAAUUCCAUUGAGGAAGGAUCAUCUACUGUUGUUGUUUAGUCAAUAAAAUUUGAAACAGAAGAUAUGUAAAGGGAUGUUAGACUUUUGGGAGAAACAGAAGUUUUGCCCGUGUUUAGGGAAUUUCUCUCUUCCUGUACAUUGUGUGCUUAAAUCAAUAAAAGUUGUGAGCUUAACAAAAAAGUGGGAAAAAAAAAAGAGCAUAGACCAAAAAGAGGGGAAAAUACUCCCAUACUUUAUAGUCCAUUAAUUAUGAACUCCUUAUCAAACACUCAUAUAGUCCAUUCACUCAACUAAAGUGACGUUCUCCUAUAGACCGCAGUGAAUGUACAAAGUAUACGACCAUCUCACAAAAAGGCGGGGUCCACUUUUAGGUCCCUCAACCAUUGUGAGACCCGGUCUAGACACCGCAGUUCACAAUGACCAAAAAAAAGAAAAAGAAAAAGAAAAAACUUUACUUUGUGCUCUAAUAAUUCUUGUUUGACUCCCAUGCAAUCUUCGGUCUUAUUUGGAUUGUUUAGAAAAUUACGUUAUUUUCUGUGAUCAUUUUUUUUAUUACAAUUUUUUUUAUAUACAUCAAAUCACUACAGUAAUUUUUUCAUGAAAAAUCAUAAAAAAUGCAAUUCAAACGGACCCUUUUGGCAGAAAUCAGUAUUAAUAUUCAUCUUUUCUUCUCUUGCCUUUGGCUUUUAGAUACAGUAAUUAAAAUUGCAUGGCAAUGUAAUUCCUCCUGUUAUCCUCUAGUAGUUUCUUUCCUUUUCUUUUCUUUUCUUUUUUGUUUUUUUUAUCAAAGGUCAACAAUAUAUACAUACACCUAUAUUAUAGAAGAGGGGACAGAUCCAACUGAGAGCACUAAAACACCUCUCACCCCGACGGCCCGAUAAAAAUCUUAGGUAUAUUGAUGGUAGCCAACAACUCAAGAGGUAGUUGAUUAAUUUCCUUUCUUUAAUUACCAUGUACUAAAAAGGAUAGCCACAACAAACAAACCCUCAAGAUCUACAGUUUAUCAUCCCUAGAUCAAUUUAGCAAACUAAUAAAAAAUAAAAUAAAAAGUGUUUUAAGAAGUCAUGUACCUCCAUGAAACCUGCCCCGUAAAGCUUUCCUCUGAAGUAGCUGCCAACUUUCGUCCUCACUUAAAAAGCGCGGUUGGUGGUGAAAACCACUGGGAUCAAUAUGCAAAGCCACGUCUUUAUUGCGAGAGGUAACUAAGAUCUUGCUUCCGUCGUUUCUAAUUGGAAAUGCUUGCUUUAUACAUUCCCAUGGUUCUGUGGCCCAAAUGUCAUCAAGAACCACAAGACAUUUCUUGUUUUGCAGGAUUUGAAAAAGUUGCCUGACUAGCUCCUCAUCCCUCCACUCCAGUAUCUCUUUUCUCUUUUCUGGGAUUAGGCUUAGCAAGAUCCUUUGCAAAAUGUCUUCCUUUUGCCACUUUUGCGAGACACAUACCCAAGCAAGACCAUCAAAGCAGCGCCUCAGUUCAGGGUGAUUGUAUACCUUUCUGGCAAGAGUUGUCUUUCCCAAGCCACCCAUCCCACAGAUGGAGACAACUCUAAAGUGUUGAUCGAUCGCAUGAUCAUGAUCGCUUCCCCUCAACAGAUGCUUUACCAGCAUCUCAACAUCAUCCUCCAAUCCAACAAAGUCAUCCUCGACAACAUGGGAAUAUGUCCGCCUCAAUUGUUGAUGCGAUGAACUACUUGCGCCGUCCUGUCUUUCCAUCACAGCUGCGAUCCCAUAUUCCUGAAAACUUUUGGUAAGAUCAGAGAUUUUGGUUUUCAGAGUCUGAAUACCCGUUUUUGUGGUGUGCCUAGCAUAGCACUCAUUCAGGAUACCAACACAUCUCUUUGUGAUGCCUCUAAUGCCUUUCCUCCUUCGUGACGCGACUUUGAAAGCAUAUCUUUCAAUCAAGUCAUCGGCCUCAUAAGCUAGAUCUCUUGCUUGUGAAAUCCACACCUUGACCCUUUCCUCCUCAUGUUGCCUUGCAUCUGCAUCUUUUAAGAACGACUGCAUCCGCUUUAGCUCUAGCUGAAGUUGCUCCACCUGGUCACUCACCCCUUGUAAGAACUUCGUUUCUUCAAUCAACAGGUUGCCAAUUGUUUCCGCAGCAAAACUGACAGCCGCCACAGCCAUCUUGGCUAAACAACAAGAUACGAGAUUUUUUCUUUCUUCGUCUUCAGAAACUGCAUAAAAGAGAAGGAUAGAAGGGAGGGAACGAGUGUUAGGUAGGUAAUCUGACCAGUCUAACUAACCGUGUUAUCGAGAACUCAGGGCCGACUUGGAGUCAACCGGGCUAAUCUCUCAGAAUAUACCAAAAAAAAAAUUCCGUCAAAUGUAUGCGUGACAGAGGGUGGUACAAAAUUAUACUCCUCCGUUCAACUUUAAUAAUACUGUUACUUUUUCACAUAAUUUAAGAAAAAAUAGUUACUUUUAUUGAAACAAUCAAUUUAGGUAACUAUUUUUUUUAAAAUAUUUUCACAUUAAUUAAAAUAUAAUUUUAUGAAAACUUUAAUUGAUGAUAAAAAAAAAUUAAUUCUCAUUAAAUGGGGUAGGUUUAUAAUAACAAUAACUUAUAUUCAAUAAAGAUAUUUUAAAAAAAUUAAAAUACAACUACAUUCUUCAAUUGGAAACUGGGCUGUAAUUUGGGACGGAUGAAAAAGAAAAACAGGACUAUCAAAGUAGGACGGAGGGAGUAUCUGUCGUGUCCAAUCAGCACAGAAAAAAAAAGUUUGACGGACGGAUGAUACAAAAUUAUUCUUGCCGUGCCCAAUUAGCACAGUAAAAAUCUUUUUUUUAAUCGCUGCAGCCUGCAGCGCAUGGAUUUUUUUUUUUUUUAGUCUGCCGCGACCGUGCUGACUGUGCACGGUAGCGAGUGACAAUUAUAAAAAUGAACAGUCGCUACCGGUAGUGGUUGACCUUGACGGAAAGCAGUUUCAAGGAGAUAGCCAAUGAAAAUGCGAGUGACAAUUAUAAAAUGGUCAGUCGCUACCGGUAGCGGUUGACUUUGACCGAAAGCAAUUUCAAAGAGAUAGCUAAUGCAAAUGCGAGUGCCUAAGCCAAAUGUAGACGUUCAUAUUUCUUUUGACAACAGGAAUUUCUUUUCUUCUUCUCCAUGAAAAAUAUUAGAUUUAUUAAUUUAUUGAUAUAAUGUUCUCCAUGACAACAGGGUUCUAUUUUUUAUUUUUUUUCCUGGCCAUCCCUUAAAUUAAUAAAAUGGGCCAAUUUGAUAUUAAGCAGUUUGUAACAAGCCUGAAAAUGUAAUACAAAAAGCACAAGGUAGAAUGUUACCAGGAUCACAAUCCCCAGACGUAAAUUUAUGUUCUUGAAUAGAUAGAUGGGCUCAUCUCAUGUUCGAAUGGAACCCGAAAAGCUGUCGUGGCUGCUUCUUUGAUAACAUAUAAUUUAAGAUGAAUCUAAAAAAAAAAUUAAGAUGAAUCUCCAUUUAUUUUCGCAAAAACAAAGAACCUGUAAAUUUUUUUUUCUGAUAUUUGUUACUGGAGACAAAUGAGAUAAGCCAAAUUGAUGGAAAAGCAGGACACCAAGUUACGUCUUAUGCUGUUAAAUGACAGUUUCAAGUUCCAUCCAUUUCUGAAAGGCCUUUAAGAAGAUGGAAUCAUCCAACCCUCUAAAGGCAUUUAAGCAGAAUUUCUAAUCAAUUCAGCCAACUGAGAAUUAAUUGAUCUUCAAAAGAUAAUGAAAACAACAUGCUUACCAAAACAAACACUCACGCAGAAAGGCAAACUGGGUUCGUAACUUGAAGAAGCACUCAAGAAACCUGGGGAUAAUUUCUUUUCAAGUUUAAAUAUAUAUAUAUAUAUAUUUCGCUACGUAAAAUAUUUAAUCGCCAUAUAUAGGCCAUCAUGAUCGUAGUAUUGCUUGCACAAUUUCAGAAUUGUUCUCCAGUCGCUUGUUUGUGAAGACGUUGAAAUGCAUGCUAUCUUUAGUUUCUUGAAUUAUUAAAACCGAUCCAAUUAUAUCUUUAAUUUCUUGAAUUAUUUGAGUUCCGAGAAUGUUCAUAACCUGUGCUACUUUUGCACAAAAUUCCUUCACUAAGGGCUGCAAUUGUUCUGUUGCUUUUAUGAUUGUUAAUGCAAGGCCAGAUGCCUUCUAUGAUAGCAACAAGAGAUCUUCAGGGUUGGUUGUAUUUUCAUCGAAAAGGGCAUUUACUGAUAACUCGGAUGAUUUACAUGAUCAUCGCUUGCCUUGCGUAUUUUUCAAUGAUUCACUCUGAUAGGCCUUAUAUAGUAUUCUAGUAUUUAUUGCCUUUGGCUUUAAUUAUUUUGGUGACUACAUUGUCUAAGUUAAAAAGGGUCGAAUCUUUUCUUCCCCAAAAAGACAAGUCUAUGUUUGAUAGAAAAUAAAUUGUGUUUGGAUUGCAUUUUCCGUCAUUUUUCAUGGAAAAAUUACUGUAGCGAUUUGAUAUAUGUGAGAAAAAAAUAUGAUAGGAAAAUGUGAUCACGGAAAAUGACAAUAUUUUCCGACGGAAACAAGCAAUCCAAGCAUGGCCGCCAAUACUUUUGUUGGUUUAUUGAUCACAAAGUUUUUUUUUUUAUUUUUAUGGAGAAGACAAUCCUAUGCGUUUUUUUAUUUUUUAUUUUUUAUGGAGAAGACAAUCCUAUGCAAUUUAAAAAGGAAGUGUAGACAAAGGAAUGGACAUUUUAAAAUUUAAAGGGGUCAAGUGGUUAAGGAAUGAAGUUUACAAAAUUGAGGGGACAGGGGGCGAAUAAGACACAAAAUUGAAAAUAUCCUUUAAUAUCAAGCCUAUUGUGCAAUUUUUCAAAACUUUAGGGGCAAUUGCCUACCGUCCCUCAUGUGUGCAUACCUCAGUCUAUAUUCAAAGUGCUGACAAUACGAUUAACAUCGGUUUUGAAAUUUAAUCUGUAUUUACACAAUUUAUGAUUUAAAAAAAAAAAAAAGCUGCCAUCAGUUUACCCAAAUCAUUUCGAGUCCACAAAAUAAAAAAAAAGGCACGCGGUUUUAUGCAUGAAUUCAAUUAUUCAAGGUGUUUGCAACCUAGACUUUGAUUGAAGGGGUUAACAUUUCCUGACGCCUAUGUGGUAAUUUUUGUUCCUUCCGUUCCGUUGUUAUAUGCUUUCUUGGGAAUUGGAGGUGGUGUUUCUGAUUAUGCAAUACUAGCUUUUUUUGAAUUUGGAAAAAAGGAAAAAUGCUCCCAAAAAAAUACUUUUUUUUUAAAAAAAAAAAAUUUCUCUCACGCCCCUCUCCACAAUCUUCCUCCCAAGAGCUAGAAACAGGAUUCAAACCUUGAAUCUGACAGCGACGAAAACUCUAAGAGCUCUCUCCUUAUACAUGCGAUAUUAGAUUGACUAAAAUUUUAAAGUCUCAUUAGUUAUAUAUAUAUAGAUUUAAAAAAAAUUAUGUUAUAUAUCAUGGUUGUUUUGUAUAUAUAACAUUAUACUUACUCAAAUUUUAAAUUUUACCAAUAAUUGAAAUAUUAUUCAUGAAGUAUAAUAGCAAAAAGGUUAUUACGUGUUUUAUAUGGUUAGUUAAAAAGUACGAAUAUGUUUCAGGGAUUAACUUUUUAUACAUUGAUAGUGUAGUGAUUUUUUUAUAUUAAAAACUUCGGAUAUAUACCAUGCGUGCAUAAUUUAGAUAUCAAAUUUGAAUUCUUGUUAUGCGACAAAUGUAUAUCAGAGUAUUUUAUAUGAAAUACAAAAAAAAAUUAAAUUAUGCAUAGGAACGUGUAUUAUUCGUGUGUAAUACCAAUUUGUUACGAAUUGUGCUAUCUAAGGCAUCCACGUGAUGGAUUGAUCAAUGCAAGACAAUAAAGAUUUUUUACAUAAAAAGGUAUCAAUUUUGAAGCCGAUGUUGUAGAAACAAAAUGUGAAAAAAAUUCUGUAAUUAAAAAUACAACAAUAAUGUGUAUUGAAUUACAGUACAACUCUUAUUAGACAAAUUACAUGCAAACUAUAAGCUGAGUGAAAAUCAUAGUUAUGAGACACAUAAUUAAUACAAGUCCAAGUACAGUAACUGGAGACUCGACUUUUGACGGGAAAAAAAAAAAAAUUGAUCGUACACCAAGACACAUAAUUAAUACAAGUCCAACUUGGCUCGACUUUAUCGUACUAAAAUGGCAAAUGUUUGAUAGUAUCACAUUCCAGCAGUGAAUAAAUCCUGCUCGUCAAAUUGAUCCUAACUGCACAAGUGAAAUCAAUUAGGAUCAGUUUUAAGUACUAUAUAGGGCUUAAUGAGUCAAAUAAAUGUUCCUAAAAUCGAGAUGCUAAACAAAAAGAAAUUAAUCAGAGGUACUUGAUAUGCAACUUGUGACUUUGUAAGCAUGGUGUGGUUGAAUAUAAGUACGUUGAAGAAGAGUAAAGUAAGUCAUCAUCGGUUGAACGAUAAAUUGAAGUAAAAUUCAAGAAAGAAACUAUAAUUGUUUAAGGAUAAAUUAAAGUAAAAUUCCAGAAUGAAACUAGAAAUGUUGACAAGAGAGACAUACCUGAUCAACCAUGCUCAGUUACAAUGAAACAUUACGGACACUAAUGGUGGGUAUAUGGGAGACUUUGUCAAAAUCUUCAUGACCAUUUGCUGCUUGGAUCCUAUCUGUGAAUUCCUUUGGCAUCCGCACAAAGUUCAACUCUUUCAGAGUUUUAACGUAUCUCAAUCCAUUCGGAACCAUCUCCAGCUUUGUGCACUCUUCAAUCGUCAAGACCGAAAGGUUGGGCAUGGCUCCUUCAUCAACAUUCCACUUCUCUAAGUUCUGUAGAUCUUCAAAACGAAGGAAUCUAAGUUGGCCAAAACCCAUUGCCUUGCACCUCAUUUCUUUGCCGAGAAAAGAUCUAUAUUUCAAGUGAAGUGACCGUAGAUUAGGAAGCCUUUCCAAUGUCUCCAUGGGAUCUUCCUCUAUCUCGAGUCUGGUUAGUUCUAAUUUAAGAAGGCUUGCACACAUAUACUGGGCUUCGUACUCGGGAAAAUUGUCCAUGGGACAACUUACCUCUAAGCCUUGAAGAUUGCGACGAGAGAAACACUGACCAACAACAUCCGACACUUUCUUCUUGAUUGAGGCGGCAGUGGCUGCUGAAUCUUUGUAAGAGUAAAUACAUAGGGAUGUGCAACCCACGUGGUCUGAGUUUGACAUUAAUCUUUGGAUUUCUGUGGGAAAGCCCUCAUCAUAGUCAUCUAACACCACCUCGGCUGAUAGUACUCGAAGGUUCCUCAACGUGGAUAUGUCUUGAGAUGAGCAAAUCGGGGGACAGAAGUUUUCUAGGAUCUCAAGCUUGUCCAAUCCCUUGAGUCGCAAUUUCCUGCAGAACAAGUUCAACUUAAACUUGCCCAGAAAUCCCAUAAGUUGGCUGUGGCCCUCCGGAAGAUAUAAGUGCCUAAGCUGUCUCAUCUUCCACAGCACAUUGGGUAUUCUAAAUACAACGGCAUCUCGUAAAUCAAGCGUCUGCAAGUUUUGUAGGUUGCCCAAGGACGAUGGCAAACAGAGGAAAACUGAACGUCUCAAACUCAAGUAUCGCAGGUGGAUUAGCUCCCCAAUAGCUGUUGGGAGCCUCAAGUGAUCUGCUACUAGGAGAAAUACAGUUUUAAGUAUGUGAUCUUCCGAGUUCGCAGGAAAGAGCCCUUCAAUGGCCAACACUCUGAGCAUUUUGAACCGAUUGAAUUGAGACUUCAUUUUCUUAGGAAGAUGCCCUUCAUAGUCUUCAUUACCUGAGAUCAACAACGCGAGUGACCUCAGGUGCCUCGUAUUUCUCUUCUCAGCUGGAGGGACAUAUUUCCUAACAUCCUCCUUAGAAAAAUGGACGGCUAGACGGUAAACUUGUGAGUGAUCAUUAUUGCCAUGCUCAUUGAGAAUUCCAUCAUGAUAAUAGCUUAUGGAUAACAAGAAAUUCUCCUCUUUGGCCUUGACCAAACUUAGGUCUCUCAUUAAGUCAUGAAGGCGACACGAUGCAAAUGAUCUUCCAAUGGAGGACAGCAUCACAUCAUCAUCAUCAUCAGGGGCUUUACCUUGAACCAUGCACCGUGUUACUAAUUCUCCCAGGUAUCUUUCUGCUACAUCCAUCAUUGAUUCUUCGCCAAUCUGAUCUUUUGUUGAUAUUAUACCUUCUGCAAUCCAUAACUGGUACAAUGCCUCUGUUUCUAUGUCAGAGUCUUCUUCAUAUCUG
rnacentral:lncRNA from 1 species